UCUCCUGCUCCUUGCCGCCGCCUCCCCUCCCUUCUCCCUCUCCUGCUCCCCAACAGCGCCUCUCUCUCUCUCUCUCCUGGUGCCUUCUUCCUGGCGGCGCCCCUCACCCCUCCGCGCGGCACGGGACGACGUGGAUCCGGCGGGCUUGCUCGUGGCGUGGCUGGCAGCGGCUGCGUGCGGGAGACAGGCGCGGCUAGCAGUGACUGCGCUGCGCACGCGAGGGGGAGAAUGCUCGGGGGAGGCGCGACGACCUCUUCUGUGUUCCUCCCCAUGAAGACCCGCGCCGAGCAUUGGCCAAGUGGGCUCUGUGCCUCCGGCACCCACCACUCCAGGAGAGCCUCCGUCUCCGGAUCCGCGUCGAGGCAUCCUCAGUGACAGCAAGGCCAAGGAAAGGGGAUUUCUCUUGAUUAAAUCCGUCCUCUACUCAGGCAAGUUAUUGAUCGGAAAUGUUCCCUACCUCCCUUCCUGUCUCCUUGCAGCAGGAAGGGGGAUUUCGUUUUGAUUGGAUUCAUUCUCUCCCUGAAAAAAAUAAUAGAUCUGAAAAUUUCUUCAUUGUGGAUGUAGGCUGCUCAUCGAUCUUGGACUUAGGUGUUAAUUUGUUGUAAAAAAAAUUGAAGCUCUAACCUUGUAUAUGCCAAACUGAUUUAUUCAGCGCAUUAGAUUUUUCCUGAUGUUUAAUUUUUUUCCUUGAAAAUUUAGAUACAUAUUUUGCACUCUUCUGGGUCACGUAGAUUGAUUGCAGGAGCUUAAAUGGAGGAAAUUGUUAAUGUCUUUUUGUGCUGCGGCUGCAUACGCAGUUUAUGUACUGUGAUCAAAUUGAUCGGUCAACAAUAAAAUCAAUAUGGUCAACAAUGUGUUCAAAUAAUAUAUUAGUCUGUUUAAAUAUGAUAUUAGUAUCUAGGUUGAUAUGAUGUGGAAAAAUACAUUGUUUAUACACAUAACAGAGUCCUCAUCCCUCGCCUACACUCACUAUCGGCCCAAAGACAAGUGCCCCUUCCUCCCUUAUCUACCUACUCUGUGCAUCUGUCUGGUUCAGAGCCUCCUCAAUCCCACUCCUGUUCCAUCUGUCUGGUUCAGAGCCUCCUCAAUCCCACUCCCCUUCCAAACACUUGGGCUGCUGUUUCCUCUCUUUGCUCCUCUAGCCUACCAUUCCCCCGUGUAGAUUAGCAAGCCCUCACCCUUUGCUUCCACUUUUGAUCUUUGUGUCUGCUUUUGUUUUGGCCUGAUCUUAAGAUUUUUCCUUUGCCUGUAGAGUUGCUGCACAUGAGAUGGUGUUUGUGACCUGUGAGAAGGAAGGUGCCAUAACUAGGAACAAUUACUUGUGUUUCUUGUCAUCGUUUUCAGAUGUUUUUCCUAUGAUUUGCCCACCAAAAAAUAGCAUAUUUUUCUGUUUAGAGGCCUCCUAUCUUUGAUCUUGUGAACUGUAUCUUUUACUUCAGAUUGUACUUUUCCUUGUGCGUGCGGGAAGGAUUGUGAAUCGGAGCAAAAAGAUUAAAAUUUUUCCAUGUUGCUUUACUUUGAUUCUUCGCUGAAUCAAGCUCUUUUUUCAUUCACUGAGUUUGCGCUUUCAUAAUCCAGAGUCUUGGUUUAGAGAA